rnacentral:lncRNA from 1 species
AUGAACCCUAACCUUAGCCUUCAUUGUAAAAUAAAGAACCCUAACCGUAAACCUAACCCUAGCCUUCAUUGUAAAACAAAGAACCCUGACCCUAACCCUAGCCUUCAUUGUAAAAUAAAGAACCCUAACCUUAGCCUUCAUUGUAAAAUAAAGAACCCUAACCCUAACCCUAGCCUUCAUUGUAAAACAAAGAACCCUAACCCUAACAUUAGCCUUCAUUGUGAAAUAAAGAACCCUAACCUUAGCCUUCAUUGUAAAAUAAAGUACCCUAACCCUAACCCUAGCCUUCACUGUAAAAUAAAGAACCCUAACCCUAACCCUAGCCUUCAUUGUAAAACAAAGAACCCUAACCGUAACCCUAACCCUAGCCUUCAUUGUAAAAUAAAGAACCCUAACCCUAACCCUAGCCUUCAUUGUAAAACAAAGAACCCUAACCGUAACCCUAACCCUAGCCUUCAUUGUAAAAUAAAGAACCCUAACCCUAACCCUAGCCUUCAUUGUAAAAUAAAGAACCCUAACCGUAAACCUAACCCUAGCCUUCAUUGUAAAACAAAGAACCCUAACCCUAGUCUUCAUUGUAAAAUAAAGAACCCUAACCUUAGCCUUCAUUGUAAAAUAAAGAACCCUAACCGUAAACCUAACCCUAGCCUUCAUUGUAAAACAAAGAACCCUAACUCUAACAUUAGCCUUCAUUGUGAAAUAAAGAACCCUAACCUUAGCCUUCAUUGUAAAAUAAAGUACCCUAACCCUAACCCUAGCCUUCAUUGUAAAAUAAAGAACCCUGACCCUAACCCUAGCCUUCAUUGUAAAACAAAGAACCCUAACCCUAACAUUAGCCUUCAUUGUGAAAUAAAGAACCCUAACCUUAGCCUUCAUUGUAAAAUAAAGUACCCUAACCCUAACCCUAGCCUUCAUUGUAAAAUAAAGAACCCUAACCCUAGCCUUCAUUGUAAAACAAAGAACCCUAACCCUAACAUUAGCCUUCAUUGUGAAAUAAAGAACCCUAACCUUAGCCUUCAUUGUAAAAUAAAGUACCCUAACCCUAACCCUAGCCUUCACUGUAAAAUAAAGAACCCUAACCCUAACCCUAGCCUUCAUUGUAAAACAAAGAACCCUAACCCUAGUCUUCAUUGUAAAAUAAAGAACCCUAACCUUAGCCUUCAUUGUAAAAUAAAGAACCCUAACCGUAAACCUAACCCUAGCCUUCAUUGUAAAACAAAGAACCCUAACCCUAACAUUAGCCUUCAUUGUGAAAUAAAGAACCCUAACCUUAGCCUUCAUUGUAAAAUAAAGAACCAUAACCCUAACCCUAGCCUUCACUGUAAAACAAAGAACCCUAACCCUAACAUUAGCCUUCAUUGUGAAAUAAAGAACCCUAACCUUAGCCUUCAUUGUAAAAUAAAGAACCCUAACCCUAACCCUAGCCUUCAUUGUAAAACAAAGAACCCUAACCCUAACAUUAGCCUUCAUUGUGAAAUAAAGAACCCUAACCUUAGCCUUCAUUGUAAAAUAAAGAACCCUAACCCUAACCCUAGCCUUCAUUGUAAAAUAAAGAACCCUAAUCCUAACCCUAGCCUUCAUUGUAAAAUAAAGAACCCUAACCUUAGCCUUCAUUGUAAAAUAAAGAACCCUAAUCCUAACCCUAGCCUUCAUUGUAGAACAAAGAACCCUAACCCUAGCCUUCAUUGUAAAAUAAAGAACCCUAACCCUAGCCUUCAUUGUAGAACAAAUAACCCUAACCCUAACCCUAGCCUUCAUUGUAAAACAAAGAACCCUAACCCUAGCCUUCAUUGUAUAACAAAGAGAUGA